rnacentral:Y_RNA from 1 species
GGCUUGUCCAAGUAGAGUGGUGAUUACAACUUAUCAAUCACAACAAGUUAUAGAUUUCUUUGUUCCUUCUCCACUCCCACCGCUUUACUUGAUUAGCCUAAA